GCAGGUGAUGGAAACGAAGUACAGAAGUGAGUCAAGUGCAAAAGGCAAAGUAUCCGCCCGUGUAUCUGGAAACUCCUGGGCUACACUGGCUUCAGUAUGGGCGCAUGCUGUUUGAAGUGGUGGUGAGCAGCUUUUGGUCGUGAGACAACACACAGGAGUAAAAAGCAGCUGAAAGUGAUAGCAGAAGGGUAAGAAGAAUCUGGACAAACUCUGGAAACUUCCGCCUCCGGAUUCCUAGGGGACUACCUUACCCAGAUCUGGGAAGCCCUUGCAAUGGCUACAGGAAACUUACAAGAUAACGCGGCUGGAACCCGGAGCCGAGGAAGCUGUGUGUGCAAAGCCACAUCCUUGAGGGGAGCUGAGGCUGAAGGGGCUCAGCCAGGGGCACAGGUGGCAUUCAUCCUCCAAGCCCCUCCUCUUCCAGCGCAGUGAAGAUUGCCCCUGGAUGUGCUGGCCCUGCUCAAACCUGUCACCCUCUCUCCGCUGCCCCCACUGCCGCUGCCUGAACGUGGGUCUCAGAUCCUGGUGUGGACUGCCCUAAUGGAGGCCUCGGUCCUGCUCUCUCUCAUCUCCCUCCCUCCCUAGUGUUCUCCCAGCUGCUUCCAGAAUGGUCUGCAAAGUUCUGGGCACUUCCCAGUAUCUUCAGGACAAACUCAGACUCUUCCUGUGGCACCCAAGCCUCUUGUCCCUGCUGAUUUCCACUUCCUCCUCUGCCUUUGCCACCUGAAACCCUCCUUCACCUGGAGCUUCCCUGGCUUCUUCCGGAAAAGCCUUGGUUACCUUCUCCUCCUGCUCUUUCAAGACUUGGCUCCAGCAAUGCCUGACCUAGGAAGUCUUCCCAGGCUGGGGGGCCCUUCCCUGGGCUUCCCUCUACCCGGACUGCAGUCCACACUGGCUACCCAUCGGCCCUGGGGGCACUGGUGUCUAGAGCUUACCAUAACUUCAUUGGCAAAUGAGAAAUUUUUAAUUUAUUUUAAAAUUAAAUGAUAAAAACAAAGUUUAAAG